UGCCCUCUGGCCCAUCAGGCCCACUUCCGGAGCUAAGAUUAGAGUCCAUUUCCCCUCAGGACACAUAGCACAAACUCAGAACCUGGUUAAGAGGGCAUGGCCGGGAUUCGGUGUGAGGGAGGCAACCGACCCCUGUGCUCGCAAGUGCCAAGAAAGUGGAGAAUUGUGUUCGUUAAGUGAAAAAUGGGGAAUGUAGAAACAAUGGGAAGUUUGAUAAAGCAAAAAUAUUCCUGGUUUUCGCUGAGUCCAAGAUACUAUCAAUUGUUUAUCUGUUGGGCAAACAACCUGGUUUCUUCAACAGAUAAACUGCAAGGAAAAACAUGAGGGAGGAAACCUUAAGACUUCCGAAAGAAAAUUAAGAGACUGAAAGAAAUCUCAGCCAGGACCUCAUUUAGAUCAAAACCCAAGUGAACUUGAAGAUACACAUUUAUGACAUGAGACAACUGGAAAUGUGAACCCUGGCUCAAAUGUACAUUGGUACCAAGGAAUUACUGUGGUUUUUAAAAUGUGGAAUAAUAGAUCGUGGAUCUGUUUAAAAGAAAAGAAAAGAAAAACAAAACAAGAGUCCUAUAUUUUAGAAACAACAGACUAAAUUAUUUACAGAUGAAAAUGACUCGAUGUCUGGGACUUGUUUCCCAAAAAUACAGGAGCCAGGGGAAAUAGGUCAUGAGCUAGUGUCACUGAAGAAGGGUGAUGGGAAGUCCUGAGCUACCAUAUGAGAAAUUCUGGAAGCUUCCAGUAGACCAUCUCAGCUGAACUCAGUCUUCUAUCCCACAUGGAACCUUCCAGACCAGCCCAUCGGCUACAGGAAAUAAAAGAAUCACCCAGCUGAAACCUGCCUGAAUUCCUGACCCAUAAAAUCACGAGAUGUAAUUAAAUGGUUGAUGCUUUAAGUCAUUAAGUUUUGUGGUACUUUCUUAGGCGGCAAAAGGUGGCCAGAAUAGAGCUAUAUAUCUAAGUGACAAGUUAUUUAAGCGAGGGAAUAAUAAACCCAGAAGUCAGGAUGGUGUUUCUUGGGAGAAGGAGGCACAGUAAACUCUGUCACCAACGUGGGGCUCAAACUCACAACCCUGAGGUCAAGAGUUGUAAGCUGUAUGGACUGAACCAGCCAAAGUGCCUCCUGUUUUCUUGUUAAUGGCCACCCUGAAGGGUAUGAAGUGGUCUCUCAUCAUAGUUUUGAUCUGCAUUUCUCUCGUGGGAGAGAGAUGACAGAGGGAGAGGGAGCAAGAAAAUCUCAAGCAGAAUCCCUGCUCAGUGCAGAGUCCGCCAAAGCGCUCAAUCCCACCACUCCGAGAUCAUGACCCAAGAGGACCUACAUCCACCCAAAACGAUCUUUUGCAAAUGAGUGGGAGACAGAGCUUCAGAUAAACCAAAAGCGAAAAAAUGUGUCACCAGCAAACCUUUGUUACAAGAAACCAUUAAAGGGCGAUGCCUGGGUGGCUCAGUCGGUUGAGCGUCUAUCUUCAUGAUCCCAGAGUCCCAGGAUCGAGUCCCACAUCGAGCUUCUUGCACAGCAGGGAGACUGCUUCUUCCUCUGCCUGCCGCUCCCCCUGCUUCUGCUCUCUCUCUCUCUCUGACAAAUAAAUAAAUAAAAAUCUUAAAAAAAAUAAAGGAAAGAAACUGUGAAAAGGUGUCCUUCAGACCAUAGAGAAAUGGCUCCAGAAGGACUUAAAGGGCAAAAGAUUCUCUAACAGAAAUAGCAAAAACUGUACACUGGGGUUUAUACAAUAGUUGUGGAAGUAAAAGAUAACGACAAAGUGACACCGAGAAUAGGAGGGCAGCCGUAUGGAACUAACUAUUGUGUUGGAAGGUUAGUAGAUCUGUGGCGUCACACAUAAAGCGAGAAGGGGAGUUGGGAAGUUGAUGUUUUGGGCGUGGAGUGUCACUCUAAGGAGACUCUCUAGACGAAAGACACAUAGUUUUAACCUAAAGCAACCACUGAAAAUAGCAAAAAGAGGUACAGCUAAGAAGACGUAGCAUGUAUCACAAAGAGUUGUUUUUAUAAAAGAUUUUAUUUAUUUAUUUGACAAAGAAAUUACAAGUAGGCAGAGAGGCUGGCAGACCGGGGUGGGAGGAGCAGGGGGAGCAGGCCCCCUGCUGAGCAGAGAGCCCAAUGCAGGGCUCGAUCCCAGGACCCUGGGACCAUGACCUGAGCUGAAGGCAGAGGCUUAACCCACUGAGCCACCCAGGCACCCCACGAAGAGGUAUUUUAUUAACCCCAAAGAAGGGAGGAAAUUCCCCAGUAUUAGUAAAUUGAUGCACUUCUAAAUGACCCAUGGGCCAAAGAAGACAUUACGUGAAAAUUAAACUUAAAAACAAAUAAAACCGGACUGUCCCGAACCCGCACCCUCGGCCCCUCUGCCCGCACCCCCCCCCAACCCUCUUUUCUUCAAAUCCUUGGCUAAGUGUUCUCAGAAGGUGCAGUCACUUUGUAAACAGCUUUCAGGUGAGUCGAUAAGCCAAUCAGUUACCCUGUCUUUCCUCUUGGAAAACAACCUCCAGAGGGCUUCCAACUCCUGCUCGCAUCUGAACUUGGGGAUUCCCUUUGUACUUCUGUGUUGCGUCCCCUGUUUGAUGGAUCCCCUCUCCCUGUCUUACUUAAUUGGCUGACUCUCAUGCUUUGGUUUCUUUCAUUUUUAAUCUAGGUCUCACUUUAUAGUGUCCAGAUUCCCCCCCACCUUUGGAAAGCUCGGCAUUUUCUUCUCAAGCAAAAUAAGUGAUCGUUGUUUUACGAUCAUGCUCGCAAAUUCUGGUAUUUGCAGCUCUUCUGCAUUUAUUUCUGUUGGCUGUGAUUUCUACUCGUUCUUGCUUGGCGUUGUCUUUAAUUUUUAUGCGUCUUUGUGUUGGACAUUAGAUUUUAAGGAAAUAAUUUGAAGCCAAAGUACUGUUGUUCUCCAAAGAAGACUUUGUUUUCCCUUGGUGCCUGGGGCUCCUAGCUAUCUGAAGUAAACUUAACCUGAUUUCAGGGUGUGAGGUUUUUCUGCUAGGGCACUGCUUCUCAGGAUACCAGGCCAAGGCGGGUGACAGUUUACCAGAGUCUUUACUUUGGCCUGACCCUGGACUCUGACUUUUGUUCCCGGUCCCUGGGAGGCCACCCGAAGCACGUGAUCUCUCAGCUGCUUCUUCCUGGUUGGAAAAAUCUCCCUGAGCCGAAGUGACCUGAAGAGCUGUUCUCAUCUCUCUGGGUUCUUGGCCUCUCCC